rnacentral:rRNA from 1 species
GGUUAAGCGACUAAGCGUACACGGUGGAUGCCCUGGCAGUCAGAGGCGAUGAAGGACGUGCUAAUCUGCGAUAAGCGUCGGUAAGGUGAUAUGAACCGUUAUAACCGGCGAUUUCCGAAUGGGGAAACCCAGUGUGUUUCGACACACUAUCAUUAACUGAAUCCAUAGGUUAAUGAGGCGAACCGGGGGAACUGAAACAUCUAAGUACCCCGAGGAAAAGAAAUCAACCGAGAUUCCCCCAGUAGCGGCGAGCGAACGGGGAGCAGCCCAGAGCCUGAAUCAGUAUGUGUGUUAGUGGAAGCGUCUGGAAAGGCGCGCGAUACAGGGUGACAGCCCCGUACACAAAAAUGCACAUAUUGUGAGCUCGAUGAGUAGGGCGGGACACGUGGUAUCCUGUCUGAAUAUGGGGGGACCAUCCUCCAAGGCUAAAUACUCCUGACUGACCGAUAGUGAACCAGUACCGUGAGGGAAAGGCGAAAAGAACCCCGGCGAGGGGAGUGAAAAAGAACCUGAAACCGUGUACGUACAAGCAGUGGGAGCACGCUUAGGCGUGUGACUGCGUACCUUUUGUAUAAUGGGUCAGCGACUUAUAUUCUGUAGCAAGGUUAACCGAAUAGGGGAGCCGAAGGGAAACCGAGUCUUAACUGGGCGUUAAGUUGCAGGGUAUAGACCCGAAACCCGGUGAUCUAGCCAUGGGCAGGUUGAAGGUUGGGUAACACUAACUGGAGGACCGAACCGACUAAUGUUGAAAAAUUAGCGGAUGACUUGUGGCUGGGGGUGAAAGGCCAAUCAAACCGGGAGAUAGCUGGUUCUCCCCGAAAGCUAUUUAGGUAGCGCCUCGUGAAUUCAUCUCCGGGGGUAGAGCACUGUUUCGGCAAGGGGGUCAUCCCGACUUACCAACCCGAUGCAAACUGCGAAUACCGGAGAAUGUUAUCACGGGAGACACACGGCGGGUGCUAACGUCCGUCGUGAAGAGGGAAACAACCCAGACCGCCAGCUAAGGUCCCAAAGUCAUGGUUAAGUGGGAAACGAUGUGGGAAGGCCCAGACAGCCAGGAUGUUGGCUUAGAAGCAGCCAUCAUUUAAAGAAAGCGUAAUAGCUCACUGGUCGAGUCGGCCUGCGCGGAAGAUGUAACGGGGCUAAACCAUGCACCGAAGCUGCGGCAGCGACACUAUGUGUUGUUGGGUAGGGGAGCGUUCUGUAAGCCUGUGAAGGUGUGCUGUGAGGCAUGCUGGAGGUAUCAGAAGUGCGAAUGCUGACAUAAGUAACGAUAAAGCGGGUGAAAAGCCCGCUCGCCGGAAGACCAAGGGUUCCUGUCCAACGUUAAUCGGGGCAGGGUGAGUCGACCCCUAAGGCGAGGCCGAAAGGCGUAGUCGAUGGGAAACAGGUUAAUAUUCCUGUACUUGGUGUUACUGCGAAGGGGGGACGGAGAAGGCUAUGUUGGCCGGGCGACGGUUGUCCCGGUUUAAGCGUGUAGGCUGGUUUUCCAGGCAAAUCCGGAAAAUCAAGGCUGAGGCGUGAUGACGAGGCACUACGGUGCUGAAGCAACAAAUGCCCUGCUUCCAGGAAAAGCCUCUAAGCAUCAGGUAACAUCAAAUCGUACCCCAAACCGACACAGGUGGUCAGGUAGAGAAUACCAAGGCGCUUGAGAGAACUCGGGUGAAGGAACUAGGCAAAAUGGUGCCGUAACUUCGGGAGAAGGCACGCUGAUAUGUAGGUGAAGUCCCUCGCGGAUGGAGCUGAAAUCAGUCGAAGAUACCAGCUGGCUGCAACUGUUUAUUAAAAACACAGCACUGUGCAAACACGAAAGUGGACGUAUACGGUGUGACGCCUGCCCGGUGCCGGAAGGUUAAUUGAUGGGGUUAGCCGCAAGGCGAAGCUCUUGAUCGAAGCCCCGGUAAACGGCGGCCGUAACUAUAACGGUCCUAAGGUAGCGAAAUUCCUUGUCGGGUAAGUUCCGACCUGCACGAAUGGCGUAAUGAUGGCCAGGCUGUCUCCACCCGAGACUCAGUGAAAUUGAACUCGCUGUGAAGAUGCAGUGUACCCGCGGCAAGACGGAAAGACCCCGUGAACCUUUACUAUAGCUUGACACUGAACAUUGAGCCUUGAUGUGUAGGAUAGGUGGGAGGCUUAGAAGUGUGGACGCCAGUCUGCAUGGAGCCGACCUUGAAAUACCACCCUUUAAUGUUUGAUGUUCUAACGUUGACCCGUAAUCCGGGUUGCGGACAGUGUCUGGUGGGUAGUUUGACUGGGGCGGUCUCCUCCUAAAGAGUAACGGAGGAGCACGAAGGUUGGCUAAUCCUGGUCGGACAUCAGGAGGUUAGUGCAAUGGCAUAAGCCAGCUUGACUGCGAGCGUGACGGCGCGAGCAGGUGCGAAAGCAGGUCAUAGUGAUCCGGUGGUUCUGAAUGGAAGGGCCAUCGCUCAACGGAUAAAAGGUACUCCGGGGAUAACAGGCUGAUACCGCCCAAGAGUUCAUAUCGACGGCGGUGUUUGGCACCUCGAUGUCGGCUCAUCACAUCCUGGGGCUGAAGUAGGUCCCAAGGGUAUGGCUGUUCGCCAUUUAAAGUGGUACGCGAGCUGGGUUUAGAACGUCGUGAGACAGUUCGGUCCCUAUCUGCCGUGGGCGCUGGAGAACUGAGGGGGGCUGCUCCUAGUACGAGAGGACCGGAGUGGACGCAUCACUGGUGUUCGGGUUGUCAUGCCAAUGGCACUGCCCGGUAGCUAAAUGCGGAAGAGAUAAGUGCUGAAAGCAUCUAAGCACGAAACUUGCCCCGAGAUGAGUUCUCCCUGACCCUUUAAGGGUCCUGAAGGAACGUUGAAGACGACGACGUUGAUAGGCCGGGUGUGUAAGCGCAGCGAUGCGUUGAGCUAACCGGUACUAAUGAACCGUGAGGCUUAACCUU